rnacentral:rRNA from 1 species
CAGUAGCCGCGGUAACACGGAGGGUGCAAGCGUUAAUCGGAAUUACUGGGCGUAAAGCGUGCGUAGGCGGUUCGUUAAGUCUGUUGUGAAAGCCCCGGGCUCAGCCUGGGAAUGGCAAUGGAUACUGGCGAGCUAGAGUGUGUCAGAGGAUGGUGGAAUUCCCGGUGUAGCGGUGAAAUGCGUAGAGAUCGGGAGGAACAUCAGUGGCGAAGGCGGCCAUCCGGGACAACACUGACGCUGAGGCACGAAAGCGUGGGGAGCAAACAGGAUUAGAUACCCCGGUAGUCCCUGUCUCUUAUAC